rnacentral:siRNA from 1 species
UGGAUAUGAUUGGCUGAUC